rnacentral:rRNA from 1 species
CAGCAGCCACGGUAAUACGGAGGGUGCAAGCGUUAAUCGGAUUUACUGGGCGUACAGGGCGCGUAGGUGGUUAUUUAAGUGAGAUGUGAAAGCCCCGGGCUUAACCUGGGAACUGCAUCUUAUACUGGGUAACUGGAGUGCAGUAGAGGGUAGUGGAAUUUCCGGUGUAGCGGUGAAAUGCGUAGAUAUCGGAAGGAACACCAGUGGCGAAGGCGGCUACCUGGACUGAGACUGACACUGAGGCGCGAGAGCGUGGGGAGCAAACAGGAUUAGAUACCCGUGUAGUCCCUGUCUCUUAUAC